rnacentral:rRNA from 1 species
CCAAUAGCGUAUAUUAAAGUUGUUGCAGUUAAAAAGCUCGUAGUUGAAUUUCGGGAUCAAUAUGUUGGUCGUGCCUUGGUACGUACCAGUUUAUUGAUUUCUUCCUUCUGAUGAAUCAUGAUGUCAUUAAUUUGGUGUCAUGGGGAAUCAGGACUGUUACUUUGAAAAAAUUAGAGUGUCUAAAGCAGGCUCACGCUUGAAUACAUUAGCAUGGAAUAAUGAACUAGGACGUUUGAUUCUAUUUUGUUGGUUUCUAGGUUCGACGUAAUGAUUAAUAGGGAUAGUUGGGGGCAUUAGUAUUCAAUUGUCAGAGGUGAAAUUCUUGGAUUUAUUGAAGACUAACUACUGCGAAAGCAUUUGCCAAGGAUGUUUUCAUUAAUCAAGAACGAAAGUUAGGGGAUCGAAGACGAUCAGAUACCGUCGUAGUCUUAACCAUAAACUAUGCCGACUAGGGAUCGGAUGAUGUUAAUUUUUUAAUGACUCAUUCGGUGCCUUACG